GGAGGAAAGCAGGGGAUCGCAAGACCUUACGCUUUUGGAGCGGCCGAUGUCUGAUUAGCUUGUUGGUGAGGUAAAGGCUUACCAAGGCUUCGAUCAGUAGCUGGUCUGAGAGGACGACCAGCCACACUGGGACUGAGACACGGCCCAGACUCCUACGGGAGGCAGCAGUGGGGAAUUUUGGACAAUGGGGGAAACCCUGAUCCAGCCAUGCCGCGUGAGUGAAGAAGGCCCUCGGGUUGUAAAGCUCUUUCAGCCGGAACGAAACGGUUACGAUUAAUACCUGUAACUACUGACGGUACCGGAAGAAGAAGCACCGGCUAACUACGUGCCAGCAGCCGCGGUAAUACGUAGGGUGCAAGCGUUAAUCGGAAUUACUGGGCGUAAAGCGUGCGCAGGUGGUUUUGUAAGUCAGAUGUGAAAUCCCCGGGC
rnacentral:rRNA from 1 species